AGGAUGAACGCUGGCGGCGUGCCUAACACAUGCAAGUCGAGCGAAGCUUAACUUUGAAGCCUUCGGGUGGAGAAGUUAAGACUUAGCGGCGGACGGGUGAGUAACGCGUGGGCAACCUGCCUUAUACAGGGGGAUAACAGCGAGAAAUCGUUGCUAAUACCGCAUAAGCGCACAGUAUCGCAUGAUACAGUGUGAAAAACUCUGGUAGUAUAAGAUGGGCCCGCGUCUGAUUAGCUAGUUGGUAAGGUAGAAGCUUACCAAGGCGACGAUCAGUAGCCGACCUGAGAGGGUGAUCGGCCACAUUGGGACUGAGACACGGCCCAAACUCCUACGGGAGGCAGCAGGUGGGAAUAUUGCACAAUGGGGGAAACCCUGAUGCAGCAACGCCGCGUGAAGGAAGAAGGUUUUCGGAUUGUAAACUUCUAUCAGCAGGGAAGAUAAUGACGGUACCUGACUAAGAAGCCCCGGCUAACUACGUGCCAGCAGCCGCGGUAAUACGUAGGGGGCAAGCGUUAUCCGGAUUUACUGGGUGUAAAGGGUGCGUAGGCGGCAAAGCAAGUCAGAUGUGAAAGCCCGUUGCUCAACAACGGGACUGCAUUUGAAACUGUUUAGCUAGAGUGCAGGAGAGGUAAGUGGAAUUCCUAGUGUAGCGGUGAAAUGCGUAGAUAUUAGGAAGAACAUCAGUGGCGAAGGCGGCUUACUGGACUGUAACUGACGCUGAGGCACGAAAGCGUGGGGAGCGAACAGGAUUAGAUACCCGAGUAGUCCUAGCUGUAAACGCUGCGAGCUAGGUGUUGCACAAUCUACGGGAUUGUGCAGUAUCGGAGCGAAGGUGUUAAGCUCGCCGCCUGGGAAGUACGGUCGCAAGGCUGAAACUUAAAGGAAUUGGCGGGGGAGCACUACAAGGGGUGCGGCGUGCGGUUUAAUCUAACUCCACUCAGAGAAUCUCACCAGAAGCGACGGCAGUAUGAAAGUCAGAUUGAAGGUUUUACUUGACGAGCCGAGAGGUGGUGCAUGGCCGCCGUCAGCUCGUGCCGUGAGGUGUCCAGCUAAGUCUGGUAACGAGCGAGACCUGUGUCCACAAUUGCUAACGGAUGCUUUUGCAUGACUGAGCACAUUGUGGGGACUGCCCUGGAAACAGGGAGGAAGGUGCAGGCUACGGUAGGUCUGUAUGCCCCGAAUCUUCUGGGCUACACGCGCGCAACAAUGGUAAGGACAAUGGGAUACGACUCCGAAAGGAGAUGUUAAGCCUCGAAACCUUACCCAAGUCCAGAUUGAGGGUUGUAACCCACCCUCAUGACGAUGGAAUCCCUAGUAAUCGGACGUUAUCAGCGUCCGGUGAAUACGUCCCUGCGCCUUGCACACACCGCCCGUCAAACCACUCGAGCAGGGUUUAGAUGAGGCUUGGUUUCUUGAUCAUGUCGAAUCUAAGCUCAGUGAGAAGGGUUAAGUCGUCACAAGGUAGCCGUAGGGGA
rnacentral:rRNA from 1 species